rnacentral:rRNA from 1 species
GAUGAACGCUGGCGGCGUGCCUAAUACAUGCAAGUCGAGCGAACAGACAAGGAGCUUGCUCCUCUGACGUUAGCGGCGGACGGGUGAGCAACACGUGGAUAACCUACCUAUAAGACUGGGAUAACUUCGGGAAACCGGAGCUAAUACCGGAUAAUAUAUUGAACCGCAUGGUUCAAUAGUGAAAGACGGUUUUGCUGUCACUUAUAGAUGGAUCCGCGCCGCAUUAGCUAGUUGGUAAGGUAACGGCUUACCAAGGCAACGAUGCGUAGCCGACCUGAGAGGGUGAUCGGCCACACUGGAACUGAGACACGGUCCAGACUCCUACGGGAGGCAGCAGUAGGGAAUCUUCCGCAAUGGGCGAAAGCCUGACGGAGCAACGCCGCGUGAGUGAUGAAGGUCUUCGGAUCGUAAAACUCUGUUAUUAGGGAAGAACAAAUGUGUAAGUAACUAUGCACGUCUUGACGGUACCUAAUCAGAAAGCCACGGCUAACUACGUG